rnacentral:rRNA from 1 species
CAUGCAACUCGAGCGGUAGAGAGAAGCUUGCUUCUCUUGAGAGCGGCGGACGGGUGAGUAAUGCCUAGGAAUCUGCCUGGUAGUGGGGGAUAACGCUCGGAAACGGACGCUAAUACCGCAUACGUCCUACGGGAGAAAGCAGGGGACCUUCGGGCCUUGCGCUAUCAGAUGAGCCUAGGUCGGAUUAGCUAGUUGGUGAGGUAAUGGCUCACCAAGGCGACGAUCCGUAACUGGUCUGAGAGGAUGAUCAGUCACACUGGAACUGAGACACGGUCCAGACUCCUACGGGAGGCAGCAGUGGGGAAUAUUGGACAAUGGGCGAAAGCCUGAUCCAGCCAUGCCGCGUGUGUGAAGAAGGUCUUCGGAUUGUAAAGCACUUUAAGUUGGGAGGAAGGGCAGUAAAUUAAUACUUUGCUGUUUUGACGUUACCGACAGAAUAAGCACCGGCUAACUCUGUGCCAGCAGCCGCGGUAAUACAGAGGGUGCAAGCGUUAAUCGGAAUUACUGGGCGUAAAGCGCGCGUAGGUGGUUCGUUAAGUUGGAUGUGAAAUCCCCGGGCUCAACCUGGGAACUGCAUUCAAAACUGACGAGCUAGAGUAUGGUAGAGGGUGGUGGAAUUUCCUGUGUAGCGGUGAAAUGCGUAGAUAUAGGAAGGAACACCAGUGGCGAAGGCGACCACCUGGACUGAUACUGACACUGAGGUGCGAAAGCGUGGGGAGCAAACAGGAUUAGAUACCCCUGGUAGUCCACGCCGUAAACGAUGUCAACUAGCCGUUGGGAGCCUUGAGCUCUUAGUGGCGCAGCUAACGCAUUAAGUUGACCGCCUGGGGAGUACGGCCGCAAGGUUAAAACUCAAAUGAAUUGACGGGNCCNCCCANNCGGNGGANAUGGGUUUAUUCNAGCAACNCGAANACCUUACCAGNCNUGACACCCAANGACNUUCCCAANNGGAUGGCGCCUUCGGGAANUUGANACAGGNGC